CUUUGGAAUCUGGUGGUGGUGAGCUCAACUGUUUAACUAGCUCUUUGGUGUCCCUACAAUCAAAAACAACAAAAACGAUAAAGUGGUUAGUAGUAAGUCAUAUUCUGGAAAAAUAGAACUGUUUUUAGUGGCCAAUUAGUAUAUCUCAUGGAAUCAUCAUUGUUAUUAUAUCUCAAGGAUUUAGGUGUGGGUUGUGCUGGUCUGUGCCAUCUGGAACAUACCAUGCCAUUGCCAGGCUAGCAUGAGACAAAGCCAUGCACCAAGCACCCUGGGGUGCCAGUGCAUGUCAACAAUUGGCAGCACACAGCACAUGCUGUGGCACUGGGAUACAUACUUAGAAGCUUCUUAUAUCUUGGCCAGUGAGAAAAUUUCAGCUUGUCAUGUAAUUAGUUUUGUGUAUUUGUCACAUGUACAUAUGUAAAUUUAUGAUAGAUAUGGAUGAAGAAUGUCACUUAAAAUGGGUAUAUGAAUAGUUAAUACUUACUUGGAUAGAGUUGACUCCCUAUAAAUACAUGCAAAAUCUAUACCCAGUUGCACCUCCGAUGAUGUAGAAGUAACUUCCAACAUCCAUGUUGCAGGGUUGUAGUUAUCUUUGAUUUCUGGCACUCCAGGAAUACUCUGGAAAUAAGAAACAGAAGCAACCAAUUUAAAUAAACAUAAAGACCACAUGCAUGGAUGUUCUGCAAUUGAACUAAUAUGGAUGGAAAUAAAGUAGUUGGAUUGUGUUUCAGUUUAGCAAUCUGUUAUAUAAAUAUGACUAAAAUAUGAACAUAAUUUGCUAUAGCAAAUAUUGCAUUCCUCCCUUUGUUUAGACUCUUAAGUACAGGAAAUCUUGGAGUGUCCCCAGGUUGCAUGAUAUCAAUUGUGUAACAGAGUCUCAGGUUUUUCAUAGCUUCACCAUUUUUUUGUCAAAUUUGAUUUGUGGUUUUCCAGGUUUCUUACCAUGAUAUGGAAUCACAUCACACAAACUACAACUUGAGAAAUAUACUACUAGAGUUAUUGGGCUUCUUCCUUAUAAAACUGUUGCUACUUAAUCCUAAUCUACCUAUGCCUGUAUGGCUGGGAAGAAUCAAGCUUGCUUGAAGUUACCUGGCCUUUCCUUUAGGUGCAAGAAUCUAGCAAUCAUAUUGAUUUGCUUCUAAUCAAUUAUAAUCUUUCUGGUAUAGGUGUUAGUCUUGAACCUGUAGUAACAAAUAUAUUGUCAAGCUUCAUAUGCAUAAAUGCAUAUUGUGCACUAUGCUUUUAAAUUGAUGAAACAUUAGUUUCUGAGAACUGUAAGUGCACAAUUCUGAUAGGGUUCAUACAUCUAGUCUUUAGCAAAUCAAUAAUAAGGGUGUGUUGGAUGAAGAUAGGUAGGAUGUUCCUGGCAUUAUCUCCAUUGAACAAGCUGCAGGUACAAGAUCUCUUUGCAGUAUCCAGUAUUCAGUGAACUGGGGAGCCAUUGUUCUAAAAGUGGAUUUAAUUUUUAUUAAAGAAAAUUAGGUGCAUAUAUUUUUUGCUCCAAAGUUUCUUAAACUGGGAACACCAGUUGUUCUUUGUAGUUAUGAUCCUAACAGCCUAUCCUAUGAGAUGUACAUCAAUCGAACACUGUGCUAUAACAAUUCCCAUGUACAUAUAAUUUUUAUUUACCAAAAUUGAUGGGGUCAUAUGAUGCCUAUAUUUUAGCAUAUUCCUCUGCAUUGACAGUAUUACAGCAUUUAUGUAAAAAAUGGUAUGUUUGAUCAUGAGGUGAUCUGCUAUUUUCUCAAGUUAGAAUAAUAUGCUGUGAUAUAAUAGAACGCUUCUAGCACAACACAGAAAUCUCAUGAAGAAAAUUUACUCAGCUGAUGUGAAAACUUUUCCAUUGCUGAACUGACAUCUUGUAGGAUGACAGCAGCAGCUGCCCGUGAAUGGGGCAAUGGGAAUUUUAACACCAGCUUCGUGAACUUUCCAGUGAGAUGUUUGUGUUACCAAACCAAUCUAUAUAUUCUGCAACAAACCCCAUCAACAGAUCCUUCUCAAGACUUGCUAAAAAGGCAUAGAGUGAAGAAAGAACAGCCAAAUUGUUACAAGCAUUUGUAGGUAACAGAAAAAUCAACUCCAAUCCUUUAACGUAAUCCAGAUAGUUUUCAAAAAGAUAGAUGAUCAUGUAUAUGAAAAACUUGCCUCAAAGUAUUCAAUAACUUUACAGGAAUGCGGUCCCACUGGGCCAGUAUAGAUUAAUUCUCCUCCUCUCUUCAUUAAAAUCAGCUGCAAGAAAAUUAGAAAUGUGGCUUAAUGAAAACCAAAAAAAUCAGAUACACUAAGAACUUACCAAAAACAUAUUACAUGGAUAUAGUUUGUAGAGAUUAGAUUAAUACCUUGAAAAGAUAAAACCUUCAAGUGAUACUAGUCCCAGGAAAAAAACUUAAGGGGAAAAUAGAAGAACUAAUUACCUCAUCAAAUGCCUCAAAUAUCUCAAUGCUAGGUUGGUGGAUGGUGCAUACAACUGUUCUUCCUGUUUCAGCAAUAUUUUUCACUGCUCGCAUGACAAUUGCAGCUGCUCUAGCAUCCAGACCAGAUGUUGGUUCAUCCAUAAAUAUAAUAGAUGGAUUAGAAACAAGCUCCACUGCUAUUGUUAGUCGUUUCCGUUGCUCGGUAGAUAGACCACUAACCCCUGGUAUCCCAACUAACGCAUCUUUGAUUCCAUCAAGUUCAAUGACUUCAAGGACUUCACUUACAAAUUCCUGAAGAUAAUGGAUAGUUAUUUAAGUUCAAUAGAUAAAUACCAAAACAAAGGACAUGAAGAAUCAACAGUAGGAUCUAGUUCCAUAGUAUAUAAAAUGCUUCACUUGUGAGAGUUGUUAAGCUUUAGAAAAAAAUUAAGUGGCACAUUUUAUGUAUAAAGUGACUUACAGAUCUUGUUUUUGGAUCAACUUGAGGUGGCAGACGCAACCAAGCUGAAUACAUUACAGAUUCUUCUAUGGUAAUUUGUGGGGAAUGUAUAUCGGUCUGCUCACAGUAACCUGAUAUCCUAGCAAAUGUUUCCUGUACCUUGGGAUACCCUCCUAUUCUUAUAUCUCCUUCAAUUAUACCUCCAGUUUUCCUUCCAGCGAGAACAUCUAAGAGAGUUGUUUUCCCUGCUCCACUGACACCCAUCAAUGCAGAAAGAACACCAGGCUGGAAUGCACCAGUGAUAUUGUGAAGCAAUUGGAGCCUUUUUUCUGUAUAGCCUUGUUCUCUCAUUUCCUAGGACACAAGCAAAUUGUUCAUCAACUUUCUCAUAGUUAUUGCUAAUCUUAUACCACAACCUAAAAUGUCUGAUCAAUUUGACAUGAUUACCUGUGGAGUAUCAACAUAGUAUUGCACAUCCAGAAAUGCUAUUGUGAGAGGAAUAAAAGGUAAAACCAUCCUCCCUGCAACAUCAAAUAUGAUAUUUUUUGGUCUACUUUCUUGAAACAUUACUGCACAUUAUAUCCUUUGGUCUUGCACUAAAAAUGGGACAAAUGGUCUUACCAGUUUUGGGUUCUGAAGUAGUUGAACUAGGUGCAACAGGGGACAUAUUUGUCAGGUCUGUUGGGCUAGUGAGAUCUCCUUGUAUUAGAGAAAGCUUCUCACGAGAUAUUAUAGCACGAGAUGCCCCGAUAGCUGAACCAGGUUAGGUUUUUGUUAUUGCAAGGCAAAAUUAUGGUAGAGAUGUAUUUUGAUCUGGAUGGUUUGAUUGGUAGGGACGAACUUACAUCUUUUAUAUGUUAAUGCCAGAGUAAAUGCAGUAUUGAACAAAAGAAUGUAUCCAAGCAGUGCUCCUGCUGAAAUCCAAUAAAAGUAGCCGUUGUAGUUUAGUCCACGGCUUGUCAAGACUUGAUGUCCUAUGGUGGUGAUGUUUGCUGAUGAAGUCUGCAAAAAUAGAACGAUGAUAGCAGAAAGGAUAGUUAGAACAUUUGGAUCAUGUCUGUUCAUUCCAUAAGAACUAAGAGGACUUAUAUGAUCCAUUAAUAGGGUGCUUUUGUUUUCACCUUUUGCCAUCUUGGUGCAAGAAACUCAUUUACAGCUAAGCCUAUCUCUGCAUAUGUCAGUGGAGAGACCCAAAAUCCCCACUUCAACCAACCGGGUAUCGAGGCUGCAAUAGCAAAGCCACUAAGUAUGUUUAUCUUAGGAUGCUAGCUUAAUCAAUUAAAACAUUGGGAAUAGCCAUACGUCGUGGUAGAAUGAAGCCUCCAAACAUGAGUAUCAUUACUAAAGCUAAGGUACCAAUGAUGGUUGAAGUCACUAUUGUCUGGAAAUAUGAGGCAAUAAAAUGGUAGAGGGAUAGUGACAUUUGAUGGACGAGAAAAAAUAGGAGUAACUGGCGGAAGAAUCUGCAAGAACAUAAGAAGAAAAUGCUGGUUAGAAAUAACAGUUCUUAUGACACUGUUUAUCCACAUACUUUGAAAGAGUUUGAAUUCUUGGAUGACAUUAACCUUGCUGCCUCAGGACUGUACCCAAUAACAUAGUAAAUAAGAGAUGUCCAUACUACAGACUCGAUUAAAGAUAUGGGAAUCUUUAGGAUAGAAGCUGGAAUAGCAUAUGCCCAUGCAGGAUAGAAAUAAAAGUCCCUUUGUCUGUAGAAAACUGGAAGUCUUGAAGCUUGCAGGGACAACUGUGGGAUUCCAUUAACCAUAAAUAACAGCAGUCCAAAAUAGAGUGAACCUAGAUAGUAACUAGAAUGAACCAUAUCAAUUUCCAUUCGAGUACGCAAAAAUACAGUCAUUGCGAUGACUGCAGCCAUUGCAAGCUGCAAUUUAGGAUUUAAAAAAAAAAAAUGUGUCAGUUGCUGGGCAUCAGUGAGUUAAAGAAUGAUAGAGAGUAGCAGUAACCUGGAUUGUUUUGAAUAUAUAAAUGAACGAGUUCCUUUUCAUAAGAAGCAAUUCCCUUGCUGUGCAAGCUUUUAAUAGUUCCCAUGUUGACAGUGAAUAGGUAUUGAAGGAUAGAGCAUUCUUAUGGCACUGGGACUUGUCAUAAGGCUUUGAUAGCUCCUCAUCAAGACUCUGUCCAAUGUGAUGUGUUUUGAAUUUUUCCACAAAUUGAUCUACAGAAACAUAUCUAUAACACUCAUCUUGACGAGACCAGUACUGCUCUUGAUCGUUUCUAGACAAAACCUGAAUAUGAAAAAUUGAACAAGUUAGGUGAAAUAAAUACAGAAGGCAUGCAGGAAAAAUAUAUCAGACAGUGCCUAGAAAUUUUUUAAUUACCUCCUGUAGAAAAUCAGCUGCUCCUUUUCUUUCUGGGCAUCUGAAACCACAUUCUUCAAAGAAGCUGAGAACGUGACUAUGAGGGCCUUGGUACACAACUUUUCCUUCUGCCAUUAAGAUGAUGUCAUCGAAAAGAUCAUAGGUCUCAGGAGCCGGCUGAAGAAGUGAAAUCACUGCAGUAGAUUCUGUUAUAUGAGCAAACUGUUGGAGGCAAGUGACGAUUUGGAAGGUUGUGGAACUGUCUAAGCCAGUGGAUAUUUCAUCCAUAAAGAGAGCCUUCAUCGGUCCAACAAUCAUCUCUCCUAUUCGGUGCAAUCAAAAGAUAGUGUGCACAAUCAGAAAUCAAUUGCAAAAAGAUUUCAUCAAGUUUCAUGCACUAGAAAGUGAAGAUGAUCAUGCUAAAUAUUUUUAUCAGAAAACCAUGGAUGGCAUAUAAUCCUGAUGCUAUUAGCUUUUUCAUGGUACCUGUGGUCAGUCUUUUCUUUUCACCACCUGAGAUGCCUCUUCUCAUGGCAUCCCCUACUAUUGUGUCUGCACAGAUGUCCAGUCCCAUGAUCUGACAAGACAGAAUAAUUCUAAAAUAUUCUUCUCAGCAGUGACAGGAUUGAGGAUAAUAAAUAUAACCAUUUAUCUAUGAUCUGGAAGUAUGAUUAUUGUUCUGAAAAACAGAAUUACCUUCAAGAUGUAGUCUGUUUGGAGACUUCUUUCUAAUCCCUCCACUGAUAUUGCCUAUAGUAAACAAAAUGAAUCCUCAGACAUAGACUUGUCAUGGCUGAAGUGAAAAAGCUAUAGCACAUGGAUUUUGUACUUAACAUCGUAUUGGAUCAUUACCCUUAUUUUAUGAAAAAGUAAGGAUCACUGUGAGUGUGGGGCAAAUGUGUCACUUGAAUUAAUAAAUUUGUCUUGCUUCAACCAUCUUUUCCAUUUAUUCUAAACUGAAGAGUUUGUGAGAACUAAUGUUGUGGAGGAGCAAUAGGGAUUUUCUGUCAAUAGAUUCAAUUCUUAAGCACCAUCAGAGUAAAUGCUUUUUUUUCUCACAUAUACAACAAUAUUUUGAUUCUGUUGAGUAGGCAACUUUACAACUUGUUUGUUAUUUAAUCAAAAUGUCAAUGGGAAAAAAAUAAAACUCUGCAGUUCAUGUCUGUGGCAGAAGCCCCUUGAUGUAAUCAAGGAAGAAUAGAAAGAAAAGAAAUGGUAUGUUUACCUUCAUGUAUGUGUCUAUGUCAGGUUCCGGCAUAAUUCCUGCCUGCUUCUCCCGUCUACUCACCUCCUUCAUAAUUUCUUCAUAGCAUAAACUGGUCUUAGCAUAUAUUAUAUUUUCUUGGAUGAAAUCAAGUUAUUGCUACUCUCUGGAAGACAUUCUGGAGGACAUUUGAGAAACUUACCUGCUCUGCUUCCAACACCUUGAAAGCGUGCUGAAAAAUCCAAUGUCUCCCUCACUGUCAUUUCAGGAAUAUGUAGGUCAUAUUGGCUUAUGUAAGCUGAUGUUUUCUCAGGAACAAACUCCUCCAAUCCAAAGCCAUUAUAGGACACUUCUCCUUCCAGCUGUAAAAAGAGCUUGCUAACAUCAAGCACUGGACUAUGGCAAUGAAAAUCAAUCUUUUUGAUUCAGUUUGUCUUUCUCUUCUCAAACUACAAAUUUUGUAUAACUGGUGAUACUUCACAAACUAAUUAAAAGAUUCAUAAGGUCAGGAAAAAAAAAACUAUGCAUGAUUAUAUAGCAGUAUUUAUUUACUGAAAGGAAAGCAUAUUAGACAGUCAGACUACUUAGACAAGCAGAGAUGGUUUCGACAUGUCUGAGAAGCUGUAAUAUGAUUAGUUAUUUCCUGGUUGCAAUGGGUGUGCAAAGACAAUCACCUCCCAGCUAUAUUUCUUUAUGCUUUUCAUUGUUGAAGUAGCAGCUUGUGGAGGCCAAUGGCAUAUACUGUUGGAAAAUAAUGUAGUCUUAACUGAUAUGGACUAGAAUUAAGUGGAAGACAAACCAAGUAAGUCCCUGUACGGUAUUGAUGGCUGAGGUACAUCCUUUUGUUUUGAUACCUGUUCUCUAAAUCUAUUAUAGGUUUCGCAAAGAAGUUGCUUAGGUCAUAUAAGACACAAUAAAUCAGAUUGAUGAAGUUGAGAUGUGUAAUGAAAUGUUGUGCAAGCAUGUCAGGAAGCUCAAAUUUAAGGGAAGGAUUUAUUAGAUAACAAUGGGUCAGGACUUGUGGUGUGACUUGUAAUGUUGGACAAGAGGCUGAAUAGCACGGAAUAUGAGAAUCAUAAAGCCAAGGAAGUUAAAAAUGAGGAAAGAUGGAACUAGAAGUAAGUAAACUAGAGAAAGUUUCAGAGUUAGCCUAAUAAAUGAUAUAUUGAGAGAGAAGAUAUAUGAUUGCUUUAAUAUGAAAAUAGGAUCAUUUGCAUAUGAUGUUUAUUGGGUUAUAUGACUACGAUGCAUUCGUUGAUUCAUUCCCUGUUUUUUGGAUCUCCCAUAUUAAGACUUGUUCAAUUCUUUAACAAAUCUAGUUUGCAUAUCUGUACAUGAUGAUGAUAUUGAUUUAAACACUCCAGCUUUGCCUUAAAUUUUAGUUUGCUAUGAUGUAUGGGCCCCAGUAGAGGUCUAUACUUCUUUCUCUUUUGAUCAGGAAGACUGAACCAAGAUGUACCUUGGAAUAAGUCCAAAUGCUUUAACCAUGUUACGGACAGCAUGUAAAAUAAAAUUAAUAGGAAUACAAAGAUUAACAUCUGUAUUGCUAAUUAGAAAUAUUAACUUCUGUACAUGUGAAAUGGUUAAGUUAAAAUGGUUCCAAAUAAUUUAUCUUAGCAAUAUUCCUAGUGUAGCUGCAUUGGCAGCUGAAUAUUUGCCAUGACCAAAAUAUUUAGUUGAAGCCUGUAGGUAGAUGUUUCUGUUCAGAGCAGUCGUAACCAGUUGAAUAGGUUGAACCGUUCUCACAGGGUAUGGUGAUAUUGCCUUCCAAGGAAACAGUUAAGCUAUCAUGUCAGUUCUGUGGUUUUCUAGUUUAAAGUUGGAAGUUGGGGAAGGUUGUCUGAAUUCUAAUUGACAUCAUUUUUUGAACCUUCUAGAGAAAGAAAAUUGAUGCUAUCUGAUUUAUUAUUUUUCAGAAGAAACAUAAUUCAAACCUUGAGAGAUUUGUCUAGUUUCCCAGCCAGUGCAAGCAGCAAAGUAGUUUUCCCACAUCCUGGAGGCCCAAGUAAGAGUGUCAUCCUGCAGGUUGAACAACUCUAGGUCAGUAAAAAUUUAAACAAAAAAGAAUAUGAAAAAAUCCUGCCAGUAUUCUGCUUUUCAAAUAAACACAACUGAACAAAAGCAUUAUUUCUUCUUUCCACAGACAGUUAUCAAAGGGAUUUAAUCAGUGAGAAGGUAUAGUUUCAAGUAAUUUUAAAAAAAAAUAAAGGAACUACAAAUUGUCAUUUUCAUUUCUGAUAAAACUAUAGACAAUUUCUCAAAAAGGAAAAAGACAGACAAAAAAUUGAACAUAUCGUUUCAAAUGUUGAGUAGACAGAUAUCUAACACUUUCCUUGAGGGCUUUAUGAUCCCACUGACAUCUCUCAAAAUGCUAAUUUUAGCUUCUUCAGACUUCAGGCCUGGCAGCUUUGCAAGAUCCUGUUCCACAGGAAGUUCCGCAUUAGUCGCAUUGCAAAAUUGCAUCACCAUUUAAAAUGACUGCAUAAAUCUCCAUUAAUCUAUUCCUUAUUAGUCUCCUCUGCGAUCUGUUUACAAUCUGGGAUGAGGAUUAUAGGAACUCUGGCUUCGUAGGCACAAUCAGAUAUCUUAUGUGGACUUCAUAAAUCUCACUUUGCUUUUCUUUUCUUAUCAAGGACUACCGUCCCCAUUGAUGGUCUUAUUAUUAUUAUUAUUAUUAUUAUUGGUUUAGAAUGUCUAUGAUAAUCAGUGAUCUUACAUUUUUCGUUGCAUAAUACAACAAUCAUUGAGGUGCAGUAAUCUUAAAUAUGGAAUAUGUAUGUGUAAAACAUCUGAUAUAUCAGAUAUUGAAUGAUGUAUCAAUCAGUUGAAUACAAACAGUGAACCGGCACUGCUGUCUCUACCAUUCAUAAACAUAAGCAAACAGAAAACUACAGCUCACUUACUGAAAACUUGCUCUUGACAGCAUUCCAUAAAGUUGGGAGGGGCUUCCCAUGAACUACUACACACCCUGCUUCCACGCACAGAUUCUUGUAUCGCACUUCUAUAGUUGGCAGUUUCACAUUUACUCUGUAGAAAUUAUGGUUAUAGAUACAUCAAACUUAAUAUCUAUGGUUGUCUUAAUUCACAAAAAACUACAUAUACAUAUAAAACUGCAUGCUUAUUUACACACAUGCACAUUUGAUUGAUGCAAUAUUUUAUAUCUGAAAUUGGAAAGAGCAAUUUAAAAUUUGAUCUAAAAACAUGAAGCCUACCUGUCUAUUCUCUCUCUUUGCUUCCGGAGGAGCCGAAGGUUAUCAUUCUCGAUGUGCUUGAUGAGAUUCUCAAUGAACACACGUCUCUCUAGAGCUCCAAGCUUGGUAACAUCAAUUACAUUCUUCUCCUUCUGUUUUCCAUCAUCAUUUUGAUCAAUGUACUGAUCAAAGAGUGAUUUUCUUAUCCGUUCAAAUGUAGGCAACCUCUCAAUGGCAGCCCACUUAAGCUCAUCUUCUUCAUCAUCCUUUAUGGAACUGCUGAAACUUCUCCGAAAACUUGAUGCAGC
rnacentral:lncRNA from 1 species